AUUAGGGCGAUAUAUUUUGACUUUUAUUUUGACACAUUGAGAAAGAAUACAAACUUUUACUUUGAUACAAUUUCCUGUAACUUCCUUACCACUUCCUGCCUUGUCAUCAGUUACUUCCCACUCAGUUCCUAUCUGUUGAAAACAGUUAAUACUUAAGAAUUCCUGACCGUGAAAGAUGCUAGAAGCAAAGUCUUUUCACUCUGCCAUGUAAUGCUGGAAUCUUCAGUAAACAACAGUGAAAUGUUAA